GUUUAGCCCUGAUUGAAAUGGCAUCCUUUUUUCUUUUUCAGAAAAAAGAUAUAAUGGAAAGCAGGAAAUAGC
rnacentral:sRNA from 1 species